rnacentral:SRP_RNA from 1 species
GCCGGGUGCGGUGGCUCACACCUGUAAUCCUAGCACUUUGGGAGGCCGAGGUGGGUGGAUCACCUGAGGUCAGGAGUUCGAGAGCAGCCUGGCCAACAUGGUGAAACCCCGUCUCUA